UGCAGAAUCCCGUGAACCAUCGAGUUUUUGAACGCAAGUUGCGCCCGAAGCCUUCUGGUUAAGGGCACGUCUGCCUGGGCGUCAUGC
rnacentral:rRNA from 5 species